rnacentral:rRNA from 1 species
UUGUUUUAUUUUUAUUAAGUUUCAAAAGUUUUAUUUUGGCUUGGAUAUUAUUUAUUUUUAUUUAUAUUAUAAGUAAUUUAUUUUUUAUAUAGUUAAAAUAAUUUAGUUAAUAAUUUUAGUUUAAUAUUUUUUAAUGGAUAAAUUAGGAAUAUAAAAAAAUUUUAAUUAAAUUUGUGCCAGCAAUUGCGGUUAAACAAAUAAAGUAAAGUAAUAAAUUCUAAAUGUAAUAAAUUAUUUUUUUAUUAAUUUAGGUUUAAUUUUAUUAAGUGAAAUUUUAAUGUUAAAAAUAUUUAAUUAUUUAUAAUGACUUUAUGAAAUUUUAAAAAAAAACUAGGAUUAGAUACCCUAUUAUUUUAUUUUGUAAAUUAAAAAUUUAAAAUAUUAAAAGUUUAAGAUCUUGAAAAUUAAAAAAUUUGGCGGUAUUUUAUUCAAUUCAGAGGAAUCUGUAGUAUAAUUGAUAAUCCACGAUUUAUUUUACUUUUAAUAAUGUUUGUAUAUCGUCGUUUUAAAUGAAUAUUUUAUUAGAAUAAAAAUAUUCUAAUAUUUUAUAUAAAAAAUUUAUUUCAGAUCAAGGUGCAGUUUUUAAAAGAAACUAUGGAUUACAAUAUUAAAUUUAAAAUUUAGAUUAAAAAUUUAAAUAAACUUUAUGAGAGAGGAUUUGGUUGUAAGAUUAAAAAAUUUAUAAUCUGAUAAUUUGCUCUAAAAUGUGCACAUAUUGCCCGUCAUUUUCAUUUAAAUUGGAACAAGUCGUAACAUAGUAGAUGUACUGGAAAGUGUAUCUAGUAG